rnacentral:rRNA from 1 species
UACGUAGGGGGCAAGCGUUGUCCGGAUUUAUUGGGCGUAAAGAGCGUGUAGGCGGCCAGGUAGGUCUGCUGUGAAAACUCGAGGCUUAACCUCGAGAUGUCGGCGGAAACCAUCUGGCUAGAGCCCGGAAGAGGAGAGUGGAAUUCCUGGUGUAGCGGUGAAAUGCGCAGAUAUCAGGAAGAACACCCGUGGCGAAGGCGGCUCUCUGGGACGGUACUGACGCUGAGACGCGAAAGCGUGGGGAGCGAACAGG